GUCCCAGCAGCGCAAUGCAUAGCGCGUUGGACUUCUAAUCCAAAGGUCGAGAGUUCGAAUUCCACCUGGGAUG